AUGAGGCACUAUUUUGCGGAUAAUCCCGUGUACCCCAAGUCGUACUUCCGGCGCCGGUUUAGGAUGAGCACCGAGUUGUUCAGGCGCAUUGCAGAGAAACUAGCGAGCCAUGACCGGUUUUUUCGACAAAGGAGGAAUGCCUCCGGAGAGCUUGGGCAUAGCACCUUUCAGAAGGUGACAACCGCUUUGCGUAUGUUGGCAUACGGUAUUCCCGCUAAUCUACUUGAUGACCACUUGGCCAUGGGUGAGAGUCAAGCCAUCAUGUGUGUCAACUGUUUCGCAGUCGGAAUUGUGCAAGUGUUUGGCGAGGAGUAUUUGAGAUCUCCCAAUGCUGAAGACGCCGCAAGGCUAUUGGAGAUGAACAAAGCUCGCGGCUUCCCAGGUAUCACUACAAAAAAAUACACUUCCAUAAUGAUACGUGUUUAUCACAGUAGGUAA
rnacentral:rRNA from 1 species